UACAGAGGGGGCAAGCGUUAUUCGGAAUUAUUGGGCGUAAAGGGCGCGUAGGCGGCAUGGCAAGUGGAUGGUGAAAUCCCUCGGCUUAACCGAGGAACUGCCGUCCAAACUGCUUCGCUUGAGACCGGGAGAGGUGAGUGGAAUUCCCAGUGUAGCGGUGAAAUGCGUAGAUAUUGGGAGGAACACCAGUGGCGAAGGCGGCUCUCUGGGACGGUACUGACGCUGAGACGCGAAAGCGUGGGGAGCGAACAGG
rnacentral:rRNA from 1 species